UGGGGAAUAUUGCACAAUGGGCGAAAGCCUGAUGCAGCGACGCCGCGUGAGGGAUGACGGCCUUCGGGUUGUAAACCUCUUUCAGCAGGGACGAAGCGCAAGUGACGGUACCUGCAGAAGAAGCACCGGCUAACUACGUGCCAGCAGCCGCGGUAAUACGUAGGGUGCAAGCGUUGUCCGGAAUUACUGGGCGUAAAGAGUUCGUAGGCGGUUUGUCGCGUCGUUUGUGAAAACCAGCAGCUCAACUGCUGGCUUGCAGGCGAUACGGGCAGACUUGAGUACUGCAGGGGAGACUGGAAUUCCUGGUGUAGCGGUGAAAUGCGCAGAUAUCAGGAAGAAAACCGGUGGCGAAGGCGGGUCUCUGGGCAGUAACUGACGCUGAGGAACGAAAGCGUGGGUAGCGAACAG
rnacentral:rRNA from 1 species